rnacentral:misc_RNA from 1 species
ACUUUUUGAUUUCAUGGUUGUUUUAUUUAAAUAAUAAUAAUACAAUAUCCAU